GACGUAGGAGGCGAGCGUUAUCCGGAUUCAUUGGGCGUAAAGAGCGUGUAGGCGGCCCGGUAAGUCCGCUGUAAAAGUCAAAGGCUCAACCUUUGAAUGUCAGUGGAUACUGCCGGGCUAGAGUCCGGAAGAGGCGAGUGGAACUCCUGGUGUAGCGGUGGAAUGCGCAGAUAUCAGGAAGAACACCAGCGGCGAAGGCAGCUCGCUAGGACGGUACUGACGCUGAGACGCGAAAGCGUGGGGAGCGAACAGG
rnacentral:rRNA from 1 species